AUACAUGCAAGUCGAGCGAACAGAUGAGAAGCUUGCUUCUCUGAUGUUAGCGGCGGACGGGUGAGUAACACGUGGGUAACCUACCUAUAAGACUGGGAUAACUCCGGGAAACCGGGGCUAAUACCGGAUAAUAUUUUGAACCGCAUGGUUCAAUAGUGAAAGACGGUUUCGGCUGUCACUUAUAGAUGGACCCGCGCCGUAUUAGCUAGUUGGUAAGGUAACGGCUUACCAAGGCGACGAUACGUAGCCGACCUGAGAGGGUGAUCGGCCACACUGGAACUGAGACACGGUCCAGACUCCUACGGGAGGCAGCAGUAGGGAAUCUUCCGCAAUGGGCGAAAGCCUGACGGAGCAACGCCGCGUGAGUGAUGAAGGUCUUCGGAUCGUAAAACUCUGUUGUUAGGGAAGAACAAAUUUGUUAGUAACUGAACAAGUCUUGACGGUACCUAACCAGAAAGCCACGGCUAACUACGUGCCAGCAGCCGCGGUAAUACGUAGGUGGCAAGCGUUAUCCGGAAUUAUUGGGCGUAAAGCGCGCGUAGGCGGUUUCUUAAGUCUGAUGUGAAAGCCCACGGCUCAACCGUGGAGGGUCAUUGGAAACUGGGAAACUUGAGUGCAGAAGAGGAGAGUGGAAUUCCAUGUGUAGCGGUGAAAUGCGCAGAGAUAUGGAGGAACACCAGUGGCGAAGGCGGCUCUCUGGUCUGUAACUGACGCUGAUGUGCGAAAGCGUGGGGAUCAAACAGGAUUAGAUACCCUGGUAGUCCACGCCGUAAACGAUGAGUGCUAAGUGUUAG
rnacentral:rRNA from 2 species